GUACGUAGGGGGCAAGCGUUUGUCCGGAUUUAUUGGGCGUAAAGAGCGUGUAGGCGCCAGACAGGUCCGUUGUGAAACUGGAGGCUCAACCUCCAGACGUCGAUGGAAACCGUCUGGCUAGAGUCCGGAAGAGGAGAGUGGAAUUCCGUGGUGUAGCGGUGAAAUGACGCAGAUAUCAGGAAGAACACCCGUGGCGAAAGCGGCUCUCGUGGGACGGUACUGACGCUGAGACGCGAAAGCGUGGGGAGCGAACAGG
rnacentral:rRNA from 1 species